rnacentral:rRNA from 1 species
AUUGAACGCUAGCGGCAGGCUUAACACAUGCAAGUCGAACGGAGUGGCGGACGGGUGAGUAAUACCUCGGAAUCUGCCUGGUAGCGGGGGAUAACGACUGGAAAGGGUGGCUAAUACCGCAUACUAUCAGAUGGGCCGAGGUGGGAUUAGCUAGUUGGUGGGGUAAAGGCCUACCAAGGCGACGAUCCGUAACUGGUCUGAGAGGAUGAGCAGUCACACUGGAACUGAGACACGGUCCAGACGCCUACGGGAGGCAGCAGUGGGGAAUAUUGGACAAUGGGCGAAAGCCUGAUCCAGCCAUGCCGCGUGUGUGAAGAAGGCCUUCGGAUUGUAAAGCACUUUUAGUUGGGAGGCGUUACCAACAGAAUAAGCACCGGCUAACUACGUGCCAGCAGCCGCGGUAAUUC